AAACGCCCGCGGAGACGCUAUCGUUGCGAUCGUGGACCUUCGUGUCAGAAAAGUUACCACAGGGAUAACUGGCUUGUGGCAGCCAAGCGUUCAUAGGGACGUUGCUUUUUGAUCUUUCGAUGUCGGCUCUUCCUAUUAUUGUGAAGCAGAAUUCACCAAGUGUUGGUUUGUUCACCCACCAAUAGGGAAUGUGAGCUGGGUUUAGACCAUCAUGAGACAUGUUAGUCUUACCCUACUGAUGACAAUGUCGUAAUAGUAAUCCAACCUAGUAUGAGAGGAACCGUUGAUUCGCACAAUUAGUCAUCGCGCUUGGUUGAAAAGCCAGUGGCGCGAAGCUACCGUGCGUUGGAUUAUGACUGAAUGCCUCUAAGUCAGAAUCCAAGCUAGAUGCGACGUGUGCGCCCGCCAUCCGAUUGCCGACCUGCAGUAGGGGCCUCUUGGCCCUGGAGGCACGUGCCAUUGGCCAAGCCCUCGCGGUGAAAGAGUCGCGCGGGUCGCCUUGAAGUACAAUUCCCACCGAGCGGCGGGUAGAAUCCUUUGCAGAGGACUCAAAUACGGGACGGGGUAUUGGAACUGGCAGAGUGGCAUUGCUGCCACGAUCCACUAAGAUUCAGCCCCAUGUCGCUCCGAUUC
rfam:Populus trichocarpa isolate Nisqually-1 chromosome 14, whole genome shotgun sequence.